AUUGAACGCUGGCGGCAGGCUUAACACAUGCAAGUCGAACGAGUGGCGGACGGGUGAGUAAUGCUUGGGAAUCUAGCUUAUGGAGGGGGAUAACUAAGGGAAACUGUAGCUAAUACCGCGUACCCUAGGAUGAGCCCAAGUGGGAUUAGGUAGUGGGUGGGGUAAAGGCUCACAAAGACGACGAUCUCUAGCUGGUCUGAGAGGAUGACCAGCCACACGUGGACUGGGACACGGCCCAGACGCCUACGCGGGGCAGCAGUGGGGAUGAUUGCGCAAUGGGGGCAACCUGACGCAGCCAUGCCGCGUGAAUGAAGAAGGCCUUCGGGGUGUAAAGUUCUUUCGGUAGCGAGGCGUUAACUACAGAAGAAGCACCGGCUAACUCCGUGCCAGCAGCCGCGGUAAUAC
rnacentral:rRNA from 1 species